AUGACAUCGAAAGUAAACUUACGCUCAGUGAGGCCCCUGAUCUGCAGACAUCUGGAUAAGGCCUGCAUCACUCAAUUCUGUGGAAGAAGCGGAGUCAUAGAUGGUAUGAUCUUUUUCACCUUGGAUUCUCUGAAAAUUGCCGAUGGAUACAUGCCUCAGCAAUCCGAUGUUGUCAGUGUGGUCAUGGUGAAGAACAUGAAGUCAUGCUAUGGUUGGAGAGCACUGGCUCUGACCCUCGUGGAAAGGCAUGGAUAAGAAAAUGGGACUGUUAGUCUAUGUGUAGCAUUUCCCCUAAGCAAUAAAGAGCCUGGUUUAAACACGUUAAA